UGUGUGUGUGUGUGUGUGUGUGUGUGUGUGUGUGUGUGUGUGUGUGUGUGUGUGUGUGUGUUGGUUUUUGUGGUUUACGAGGACUUUUGACCUGAAUACGCACCGGCAUUACGGGGACAUUUGGGUUUAUGAGGACACAGGCCAUGUCCUUGUAAUUCCGGCAAUGUAGAUGCCUUUCUCUAUGUCCCAGAAGCACCCUCUCCAAUUUUCGCGGCAUGUCCUUAUAUACCACAAAAACCUGAUUUUAUACCAUACACUGUGUAUCCUCUGUGUACGAGAGUGCGCCCCUGCAGCCGGGUCCUGGUACUGUACCGGCGUCAUCGAAAAUUUGCAUUUUUCACACAAGUGUAAGUAUUGAGGCCUGUGAUUGGUCAGAUCGCUACUGGUAGGCGGGAAAUCACGAAAACAAGAUGGCGCCGACGGGCGGAGCCUAAUUCCGCAGCCCCUAUUGGCUGCAUACGCAAUGAACAACAAGUGAGACAAGAUGGCGCCGGUGGGCGGAGCCUCAUUCAGCUUCAGCUUAGGUCUGUAUAACAAGCGAGUUAAUGCAAAAUACUAAUUAUUUAAGUGUUAUUGCCUAUAAUUUUUCAUUUGUGAAUUAAAUAUAUGAAUAAAUAGUGAUCCUCGAUUAAAAAUAUCCCUUAAAUGUCAUGUAAUAAAGUAUAAAAGUAACUUGAACGCUGUUUACUCAGUAUUUAUACAGUUUAUUUAGCUCGUUAGCAUAUGCUAUUCAUGUAAACACAACCACACAUUAACUCGUGCGCUCACAUCACAUAUAUUUAUUAUUAUUAUUUUAAUCCCGUUUAUAAUGUAAUAAGUAUGGUUUAAUCAGAGUCAUGCCUCAAGUUCAUUUCCUGUUUGGACCGGAUAGAAACUCUGCACCUGAGAAGACAUCUGAGCACCUGAUGGAGGCUGCUGUUGUUUUAAAGAAGAUGACAGAAGACACAUCAGAUCAUGCUGAAGUAUAACAGUGAUGGAGAAAGCCCAAUCUCUGGAGGAAGACAUACAGUAUUCACAAAGAUUCAUCAGUGAUUUCACCUGUGUCAGAUGGUAACUGAGAAGAAUCAGAUUCAGAAGAAUAAGAUACAGCAACAAUAAAGAUAAGCCGUGAGACCCAGCUGUCAUCAGUGAUGAUUGUGCUGCUCUUACUGUGGGACUACACCAGACUCUCAGUGAGGUUGGACCCUCUGCUCUCAAAAUGAACACUCUGUCCCAGUCAGAAGUCAGAGAUGUACAGAAGGUAUUGUUUUUCUUUUUGGAAAUCAAAUUAGGCAUGUGCUGACAGGAAAAUUUGGGCCAAUUUUGAUAACCGAUAAUUCUUUAUAUUUGAAAGGCGAUA